GACGAACGCUGGCGGCGUGCUUAACACAUGCAAGUCGAACGGAAAGGCCCCCUUGUGGGGUACUCGAGUGGCGAACGGGUGAGUAACACGUGAGUAACCUACCCUUGACUUUGGGAUAACUUCAGGAAACUGGGGCUAAUACCGGAUAGGAGCUCCUGCUGCAUGGUGGGGGUUGGAAAGUUUCGGCGGUUGGGGAUGGACUCGCGGCUUAUCAGCUUAUUGGUGGGGUAGUGGCUCACCAAGGCUUUGACGGGUAGCCGGCCUGAGAGGGUGACCGGCCACAUUGGGACUGAGAUACGGCCCAGACCCCUACGGGAGGCAGCAGUGGGGAAUAUUGCACAAUGGGCGGAAGCCUGAUGCAGCAACGCCGCGUGCGGGAUGACGGCCUUCGGGUUGUAAACCGCUUUCGCCUGUGACGAAGCGUGAGUGACGGUAAUGGGUAAAGAAGCACCGGCUAACUACGUG
rnacentral:rRNA from 1 species